CACACGGUGCAAUUAUUUGAUUCGACGUCAAAAUAGCAUUUCUCGAAAGUGCAAACAUCGUUCUUUUUGUAAAAGCAAGUUAUGUUUGGAACGAUGUGUAAUACCUGUGUUUUACCAUAACGCACGAGCGUAGAUUGAACAAGUGAAUUGAAGUGACUUAUACGUAUUCAGACACAUGAAAUAGCCUAGUGGUCCGUUCACACGAUUCUUACAAUGGCAUCUUCGACGGAUAUAAAGAAUACCUUAUCAAGUGAAUUGGAGGCAAACGAAUUACUGGAAGCAGUUCUAAAACAGAUGGAUGGCAUAAUAUCAGGCUUUUCCGGGUCUACUGCAAAAUGAAAUGAUUUUAAUUUAGAAGAAAAAUAUCUAGUAGGACAUAUCUGUCACCUGAACAAGCAACGCUUCCUGGACUAGUAUUUGCUAGGUAAAUCUGAUUCAGAUUGGUGAAGAUUUAUAAGUCUCAAAAAAUUCAUGACUCUCAAAAGAUUCAUGAAUAUCUCAUAUGAUUCACAAAUCUCCAGAGAUUCAUGAAUCUCAAGAAAUUCAUAAAUCUCCAAAAAUACAAAGAUCUUGAGCUUGUUAUUAUUCUUAUUCUUGGCAUAACAACCUACGAGGUCAUGUCAGCCUAAACAUGCUUCCGAGAUUUCUAGGUAAAUUU